GCGGACCCGCUGGAGGAAUCCAGCAGAUGGCAGCCGUGUCCCUCCAAAGGUGCUAGCCGUCAAAAACUUAAAAGAAGAAGACGUCACGCUGUCUGUCUAUUGAAAGAGGCUGAUGCUUCCCAGUGUCUCCCGCUGCACUCGGCCCAUCUACCUUUCUGUAGCUCGGCCUCUGGCUCACUUCAGACCGCCCAUGGACCCGGACCCUAACCGGCCUGUUGAAACAACCAUCAGAACCAAACUGACAGAUAAGUUCAAGCCCGACCACUUGGAGGUCCACAACGAAAGCCACAUGCACGCGGUUCCCCCCGGAUCCGAGUCUCACUUCCGAGUCCUGGUGGUCAGCUCGCUGUUUGUGGGUCUGCCGCUGAUUCAGCGCCACCGUCUGGUCAAUGAGGCGCUGAAGGAGGAACUGAGUAGCUGUGUUCAUGCGUUGGCCAUCCAGGCGAAGACCCCUGAGCAGUGGGGCGUGGACCCCGCUCUGGGCAAGAGCCCGCCCUGCAUGGGGGGUUCGAAAAACGACCGCACUGUGGAGGAGAAGCUGAAGGCCGGACGGGAAUGAAGCGCUGGACAUUCACAACCUGCUCUUUGGUUUUAUCUGCUCUGAAGAGUUAUUGUUAGCUGAUGACGACCGGCUUCUAGAGGGACGACCAUCCUGGGCCUGGACCCGACGGCCUGUCAGGCCGAGCAAAAGGUUCUGGUGAGGAGGGAGAACAACUGGUGCCACUGGUCUAGAAAAAGGCAAACAGGAACACAACCAGUUUAUGACCCCUGGCACUCAUUAGAGCCAGGAGGGGCCUGUGGAUCGACCCGGGGCCCGGAGCGCCUGCAGACCUGCACUCUGCUGCUGCUGGGGAGAUUUAUGCGUUACGAUUCCAGGUGGCGUUAUGAUCCAACAGAGGGGACGAUGAGCUGGACUGCUGGGACUUGUCUCUGCACUUAACAGUUGAUCACAGCUGGAAGUCCUGGGAGUUUUUCCUCAGGGUGUGAGGGAGUCUGGAUGGACUGGUUUCUGGGCCAGAGAGCAGCACAGGCCAAGGCCCCAACCCUGAGCCCUGAGCCCUGAGCUCGUCAUGCAGCUCUUGUUCGCUCCCCUCCAGGGCUCGGAGUGUGCAUGUCAGGACAAAUAGCGUGUUCUUCGUCCUCCCUCGCUGUCAGUCACAGCAGCUUCUCUGCUACUCUGGGCUCCGUUUGCACACCUUGGCCAGCUCUCCUGAACUCAAAGCUUUCUGGGGACAGAUGUGGAGGCCUUCCUUUCCCAGGAUCCCCCAGGGAGGGCGUGGACAGGUUUUACACCCUGCAGCAGAAGGGAGGAGGCAGAGGGACGGGCGGCUCGCUGUCCGAAGGGUCAAGUAUUAGGAGUUAAGUGAUGCAUAAGUAAUGCUUUGUUUGGACUGAUCUGAGGGAAGGAAAUUUACUUCGUUUGUCUGUAAUGAAGUUAUUUUUUUUCCUUUGAAACUGAAUUUUUAGAUAAAGAUUAAAGGCAGAAAAGGCUGAGGGUUCAUGGGAAACGAGCUGAGAGUCAUAAAGACAAAAAAUCUCCAGAUGGAAGUGAAAUAAUCAGCAGAUUAAUGUAGAACAUUGUUUUAAUGACUGAAACUGAGGGAGUGAGAACAUCUUCGGGAGGCUGGAGAAACCGGGUCAGACAGAAAAAUCAGACAUGAGGUCAAACUUCAAACCUGAGUUUUGGACACAUUGUUGUCCAUAUUUAUGUUAGUUAUGCAGAUUUCUAAAGGUUUACUUUCUGCUCAGGCGCUUUAUUCAAUAUUCCUCAGAAAAUAACACAUUUUUACUAGAAGUUAAGUGAAAAAGUCCAUCUAAAUAAAUUCACAACAUGUAUAUUUAUUGCAGAAAUAAAAAAUAUUAUUUUUAUUCUUAAGUUGAAAUCAGCUGAACAUACAGUACCUAAAAUAUACUUAGUUUUUUUUUUUUUGUCUAGCUCUCUGAAGGUUCAUUACAAAAAUAUUUUCAACUAUUUGAAGCCUUUUACUCUGAAUCACUCAGAGAAACAAACUGAUUCUAUUUUUAUGGUUUGACUAUUUGCUGUUUGUAAAAUACAAAAUGAUUCCUAAAGAAAAAUGUUCAGCAUCUCUCAGGUCCUUCCAGCUCUUUGUUUCAUUUCUUUGCUCUUUGUAAGACUUUUACAUGGUUUGUCCAACGUAAAUAGAUUUAUUGCCCUGAUUUUUAUUUUUGUUGCUACUUUCAACACAGUGUUGUCAUGGUAACAGGUAAACUCUAGACCUUGGCCUUUUCUGGACUGCCAGCUUACUUAUAGUGACCCUCACUGGCACUCACUGAUAUUAGAAUUAGGUCCUAUUUUGGACAUUUCUUGACUGUUCAAAUAUUAUAAUGGGUUUUAUAAUGCAUAAAUACACAUGCAUAUUUAGUAAAUUUAAAAAAAUAUAGAUCCUACUCAUUUGCACAUUCCUUUUUGUUAAUUGCUCAUAGCAUCACAAUGUAAUUUUGCCUUUACUGUACAGUCAGUCAUUCUUUACUGGGUUUGUUUUUCAUAUAUUUUAAUAGUUUUAUCUUUGUGUGAACCUACAUGUCUUGAUUCCCGUCACUUUGCUGCUGCUACACCUGAAUUUCCCUCCCACUUUGUGGGACAACAAAGCGGAUUUAUAUUAUAUUUUAUUACAUUUAUUUGUUUUAAGUGCAAACAAUCUAUUGCAAUUUUUCCACGAUGGAAAAUGUCGCUUGAGCUUCGAUUCUUCAGUCAAAACCAGGUGAAAGAAAAAAGUCUGGUGCACAUUUUUUUUGGAGAAAACUUUCCAAAUAUAAUUUCAAAUUCAGAGAUACUGGUUAGACUUGUAGUGAUAAAAAUUACAAUCUUAUGUUGCUGCAACAAAAUGCCACAAUGAAUGUUUAUCUGCUGCAAAUUGAUGACAGAUUCCCCAGUUGAUCACUUUUUAUUUUUCCUGCACCCACUUCCAGUCAGCUUUUCUUUUGUUCUGGACAGAAGUUUCCCGGUCUUCAUAAGGAGUUUAAAACAUUUACCUCCCAGCUGCUAAACUCAGAGAAACCUGCUGGUCAUUAGCUCUUUCCCUCGUCAGCCGGCUGGAGUGGCAGCUCUCUGUGGUCGCGCUCACAGAGGCCUUUCAGACCUUUUGGCUUCCAUAGCACAGGCGUGAAAAUCGGCUACAUUUAAUCAGCCAUGGUGGAGAAUUUAAAGAAAAGGAUCAAGAGAGCUUUGUCCUAAUGGAUUGGCUACAGUUUGGGGGUCCAGCACACCAAGUUAUACCUUGUUAAAGGCACAUCACUGCGACAGUAUAACUCAAAACACAUGGUGUUGCCUUUAAGCGUUCCCUCUUUCUCUCUGGAUAAAGGAAGAAAUUGAUUUUGAUAUGUUUUUGUGGUUCUUUUUGACAUUUGAGGGCCAAAUUUGUGCAACAGCGAUUUGGAUUGACUGUCAAGGCAACCACUUCAUCCGCGCUCCAAAAAAACAGAAAAUUAAAGAAUAAGUCUGCUUUUGUGUUUAGGAAGUACAUCAAGUGACUCACGUAUACAGAGGGUCAAUUCUUUCAGGCUGUCUGUACAUUAAAAUUUCAAGCUUACGGCCAUGGCAAUUCUUACCAAUACAGUAAGGCCAUAGAAGACGUAGGCGACAUUCAGAAAGGGCCCGCGCAGUCAAACAAAGCAGUAAAUCAAGUGCCUUGACACAUGCUCACCAGACAGUUUGCCGUUUGUCACAGAGGCUGAAUGGAACUAAAAGCAAAGUUGUGGACGCAUCGGGGUGAUCGGCAUUGCUCAGAUAGAGCACAAGGGGCCUUUUCAGACAGCUGCAACACUGAUUACAUUGUGUGAAGGCCAAUCAAAAGGGGAAAAUGACGAGAGCAGCCAUGCCGGACACACACAAUGCACAAAUGGUGGCAGGGAGAGGAACAUUUUGGGAUGCAGAGUCUCACACAUGGGAAACUCUCAGGAAGCGUUAGCAGCUUUGUAAAGUUGAAAUCAACAUGUUUCAUGGAAAAGGUGACAAAUAACAACCUCAUGUUGUCACAAAAAGCAAUAAAUCAAUCAAUUACAUAAUAAAUUAAACUCAAUAAUUUCCAUUGGAUGACUUGUCAUUUUUCUCUUUUUAUCUCCCAAUUUCUACCAAAAACAAUCUUUUUACAGAAACUUUAUCAUUAAUCUUAUUUGUUGCUUCGGUUGUUUUGUUUAUUUAUUUUGGAUAUGGGAAAUAUCCAGUGUUAAAUGUUGAUUUGAAUUGAAAGUUUAUUGAUCUUUGAGAAUGUUCUUGCAUUAUUAUGCCAUCCCAAUAAUAUUACUGAUUGAAAAUCAGCUCAAAACAACAAUAAUAUUACUUAUUGCAAUAACUUCUGCACAAUUUAUCAUCCAGGAAAAUUUGUUAUUGUGACAUUCCUAAUUGUGACUUUUAGUUCCUUUUUAUCAGCAAAAAUAUUCCCUACUGCUAAAUAAAAACAAUUCUCAUGUGCGCUUGUCAUUAUAUUUAAUGGUUUUUUAUCAUCAGUCUGCUGUACUACAAAAGAAAGACAAAAUCUUGAUUUGGAUGGAAAUUAUUAUUUAAAAAAAGGCGCCAGAAUAAGUGAGAACCGUUAUUUACAUGUGUAAAACAUAAAACAGUGGAGAACCUUUCUUGGAGCGACUGACCAACUAAAAUUACUCCAAGAGGGCAUCAGUGCCUCAUGUUGGAGGUCACAAGAACCCAGAUAGUAUUAUCUAAGGUACGACAGGUCUCAGGUGCCUCAGUUAGGGUCAAAGUUCAUGCUUUAACAGAAAGAGAGAGAACUCAAUGGGACAUCUCACACCCAUCAAAUAACAUCUUGAUAAUUCUUCACGACAUUUGGUAAAGGUGGAACAUUUUGGAAGCUGUAACAUCUGGCGUAAAACUAGUGGAGCAUUUCAGACAAAGAGCAUCAUACCAACAGUCAAACAUGGUGAUAACGGUGCAGCGGUCUGGAGCCGGUUUGUUCCUUCAGCACUCAGAUCAGCAUCAGGUUGAAUCAGUUAAGUAGCAGCAGUGAGCAAGUGGAACAGAAAACAGGAAAAGUAAUCGACAUAAAUACAAAGAAUAAUGUUAGGUGAAUCUGUAUUUAGUAGUUAUCCAACCCAAACUAAUAGCUUUGAUACCUAAAACAAAGGACAGAUAAAUAAAAAUAAAAUUAAAUGAGUCUCAGUCCCUUCUCUAGCGGCUUGUACUAACGGAGCGCCACAAGAAUCAGAGAUAAAACCACUUUACGUUGGUAUUUUAUGAUUUUGAGAUUACAUUGUAUGCAGAUGACAAAGUCAUUUAUAUUUAAAUAUGCAUGCACAAACCUCUGUAUGCCCAAAGACUUCAUGUAUUUUUUGAUUAAUACUUAAAUGAGAUGAUAUCUAUCAGCAGAUCAACGUCAUUCUAGAGUCCUUAAACUUUCUGUUUAUUUUUUAAGGAAUAUAACAUACUUACUGUCGCAGUUUGGAAAUGACUCAUUGCAGAGUCGUCUACCUUAAUUGGUAGACUAUUAGUUAUUGCCUGAUGUUUACAGAUUUACAUUUUUUAUUUCUUUUUGUUAAUUUCUGACAUUUCUUUCUCUACUUGGAACAAACUAAAGCUGAGUAGUGAAACUGAGCUGAAGAGUUCUGAAAAUAUUUUAAGAAAGUUGGAGAAAGCAUCACUGGAUGUCUGUUCUUCAUGGUUUACUGCUAUUGUCUUUUUCAGUUGCAAUUUUCAGUUUAUAUGUUAGUGAACCAGAAGCAAACAUGGAGAAGCAGCAUCCAGUUUUUGUGUUUUAAUCUGGAACAAACUUUCAGAAAACUGCAAAACUGCUGGAAGGUUAAAAACUCACCUGUGUAGAGUUCCCUUUGACUAAUAAUAAUCAGAAUAUUGAUCAAUAUAUUUGAUCUAUAUUUGAUGAUGAUUAUUGUUGAUGACUUUAAUAAUAGUUUUUGACUAAAUGUAAUGUUUAUUCCUUGUUUCAUAAUUGAUUAUUAUAUUAUGAUUUUAUUGUUUAAAGCACUUUGAACUUCUACAAUGUGCUUUACAAAUAAACUAUUUUACACUUGUAUAAAAUGACUGUAGUCCCUUUUAGCAUAUGAUUGUUUUGCAUAUUUCAGCAGGCUGCUCUUGAAAAUUAUACCUGUUGUCUCAAUGAGGUGAAAUAAAAAUAAAAGUUGCAUAAAUAAGCAUAA